UACAGAGGGUGCAAGCGUUAAUCGGAAUUACUGGGCGUAAAGCGUGCGUAGACGGUUGCGUAAGUCAGAUGUGAAAGCCCCGGGCUCAACCUGGGAAUUGCAUUUGAGACUGCGUAGCUAGGGUGCGGAAGAGGGAAGCGGAAUUUCCGGUGUAGCGGUGAAAUGCGUAGAUAUCGGAAGGAACACCAGUGGCGAAAGCGGAUUCCUGGUCCAGCACAGACGUUCAGGCACGAAAGCGUGGGGAGCAAACAGG
rnacentral:rRNA from 1 species